AGUGAACGCUGGCGGUAGGCCUAACACUUGCAAGUCGAACGGCAGCACAGUAAGAGCUUGCUCUUACGGGUGGCGAGUGGCGGACGGGUGAGGAAUACAUCGGAAUCUACUUUUUCGUGGGGGAUAACGUAGGGAAACUUACGCUAAUACCGCAUACGACCUACGGGUGAAAGCAGGGGAUCUUCGGACCUUGCGCGAUUGAAUGAGCCGAUGUCGGAUUAGCUAGUUGGCGGGGUAAAGGCCCACCAAGGCGACGAUCCGUAGCUGGUCUGAGAGGGUGAUCAGCCACACUGGAACUGAGACACGGUCCAGACUCCUACGGGAGGCAGCAGUGGGGAAUAUUGGACAAUGGGCGCAAGCCUGAUCCAGCCAUACCGCGUGGGUGAAGAAGGCCUUCGGGUUGUAAAGCCCUUUUGUUGGGAAAGAAAAGCAGCAGGUUAAUACCCCGCUGUUCUGACGGUACCCAAAGAAUAAGCACCGGCUAACUUCGUG
rnacentral:rRNA from 1 species